rnacentral:rRNA from 1 species
GAUGAACGCUAGCGGCAGGCCUAAUACAUGCAAGUCGAGGGGUAAAUAUUGUAGCAAUACGAUAUGAGACCGGCGUACGGGUGCGGAACACGUAUGCAACCCACCUUAUACUGGGGUAUAGCUCCGAGAAAUCGGAAUUAAUCCCCCAUAACACUGCGCUGUGGCAUCACAGUGCAGUUAAAGAUACGGCGGUAUACGAUGGGCAUGCGGUGCAUUAGAUAGUUGGGGUGGUAAUGGCUCACCAAGGCUACGAGGCAUAGGGGGUCUGAGAGGAUGAUCACCCACACUGGUACUGGGACACGGACCAGACUCCUACGGGAGGCAGCAGUAGGGAAUAUUGGUCAAUGGACGCAAGUCUGAACCAGCCAGGCCGCGUGCAGGAUGACGGCCCUAUGGGUUGUAAACUGCUUUUAUAUGGGAAGAAACCCCUGGAUGCGUCCGGGGCUGACGGUACCAUAUGAAUAAGGAUCGGCUAACUUCGUGCCAGCCGCCGCUGUAACAC